rfam:Aedes aegypti strain Liverpool supercont1.495 genomic scaffold, whole genome shotgun sequence.
GGGUUGGUGGUCCAAUGGCUAUCGCUUCUGCUUCAUAAGCAGAAGGUAAUGGGUUCAAUCCCAGGUCCGUCCCU